rnacentral:rRNA from 1 species
GACAGAGGCCUCAAGCGUUAGGCGGAAUCACUGGGCUUAAAGCGUGUGUAGGCGGAUCGUUAAGUGUCUUGUGAAAUCCCACGGCUCACCCGUGGAACUGCUGGGCAUACUGGCGAUCUUGGGCCAACUAGGGGCAACUGGAACAAGCGGUGGAGCGGUGAAAUGCGUAGAUAUCGCUUGGAACGCCAAAGGUGAAAACAGGUUGCUGGUGUUGUGCCGACGCUGAGACACGAAAGCCAGGGGAGCAAACGGG